UCCACAUCACAGCCCACCUUAAGCGUCCUCGCUCAGAAGGGAAUCUCUCUAAGACAAUAAAACAGUGCAGGAUCUGUCUCUGAAGAUCAAAAUCCACUCGUAUGUGGGGCAUGAAAAGUGGACGUUUUGUUUAUCAUUGUAUGCUCCUGCCAUUAAGUUAGGUUAGGUUAAAUUAGAACCAAUUUAGGAUUAGGUUGAGACAGUGUGUGUGUGUGUGUGUGGCAGAAUCUACACGUAUCGGGGCAUUACCUGAGUUCAUUGUUCCUCACUUACCGGUCAUGGUGGUCAAGAGCCAACUUCCCGCACGUCAUGUCCACGUACGCGUGUAUUUUGCUUUUUUAACACGACGCCAGAGUACCUGAUGCUUAAUGCAAUGUUAUUGUCUGGCGGCCAUGACACAGGGUAGCAAGCGAUAGUCCAUUACUUUUACCUGGUGACCAUAAGAGAAUCGCUCUCUCUCUCUCUCUCUCUCUCUCUCUCUCUCUCUCUCUCUCUCUCUCUCUGUACACGUGUGCGUGUGUGUGUGUGUGUGUGUGUGUAAACAGAAGACAUCCCCCGCUAGUAGAAGUAACCAGCGGUCAGUUGAUGAAAAUAUCCUUCAUAUAAAGGAAGGUCAUGACACAAUAGGCAUGAAUGAGCUAUAGUAUACAAGAGGUUCCCUGUAGAGGAGAUUGUGUAGCGAGGAGGUAAAUGACGUUCUCAGAGGCCUCUCGAAUCACUCUCCUGAAGGUUUUUUUCUCGACACCGCCUGCCAGAGUUCCACAAAUAAGGUGUGACGUCAAACUCUCGCUCUCUUCCCUUUGUCAUGGCUGGACAGUUUAAUUGUCAACAAAUAUUUUAUUCGGCAGUCUAAAAAGCCACAGUUUCAUUAAUACAGGUUAUAAGAGGAGUGCCGAGCUGGAGUGUUUGUUGAUGGUGGCGGUGGUGUAGGUGGUAGUGCAGGUGGUAGUAUAAGUGUUGGUGCAGGUGGUGGUAGGGAUGGAGUCGGUCGUAAUGCAGGUGGUGGCAGAGAAGAUGGAAGCAGAGAAGAUGGUAGCAGAGAAGGUGGAAGCAGAGAAGGUGGUGGCACAAGUAGUUCCCGAUUUAACAGUAAUAUCUAUAUUAUAUAACAACUCUAUAUCAUAAUAAUCAACAUUUAUUUUUCUAUUUGACCUUCCUCUUGUACAUACCUUUUAUAUAUCAGCUAACAGUAAGUGUCACUUCUCCAGUUAUCCUCCCGUCUUAAACCUGGAGUGGGUGUAAGUGUAUAUGCAUCAUAACAUUACUUCAAAUACAACAUUAUUACAAUUUAAUAAUAUUUUAUUGUUCUAAUAAAUAUUCUAUGAUAUGAA